UACAGAGGUCCCAAGCGUUGUUCGGAUUCACUGGGCGUAAAGGGUGCGUAGGUGGUGAGGUAAGUCGGAUGUGAAAUCUCUGAGCUCAACUCAGAAAUGGCAUUGGAAACUACCUUGCUAGAGGAUUGGAGGGGGGACUGGAAUUCUCGGUGUAGCAGUGAAAUGCGUAGAGAUCGAGAGGAACACCAGUGGCGAAGGCGAGUCCCUGGACAAUUCCUGACGCUGAGGCACGAAAGCUAGGGGAGCAAAC
rnacentral:rRNA from 1 species